CAGCAGCCGCGGGAAUACGAAGGGGGCUAGCGUUGUUCGGAAUCACUGGGCGUAAAGCGCACGUAGGCGGACACUUAAGUCAGAGGUGAAAUCCCAAGGCUCAACCUUGGAACUGCCUUUGAUACUGGGUGUCUUGAGUUCGGGAGAGGUGAGUGGAACUGCGAGUGUAGAGGUGAAAUUCGUAGAUAUUCGCAAGAACACCAGUGGCGAAGGCGGCUCACUGGCCCGAUACUGACGCUGAGGUGCGAAAGCGUGGGGAGCAAACAGGAUUAGAUACCCGUGUAGUCCCUGUCUCUUAUAC
rnacentral:rRNA from 1 species